UGCCAGUGAUAAACUGGAGGAAGGUGGGGAUGACGUCAAGUCAUCAUGGCCCUUACGAGUAGGGCUACACACGUGCUACAAUGGCAUAUACAAAGAGAAGCGACCUCGCGAGAGCAAGCGGACCUCAUAAAGUAUGUCGUAGUCCGGAUUGGAGUCUGCAACUCGACUCCAUGAAGUCGGAAUCGCUAGUAAUCGUGGAUCAGAAUGCCACGGUGAAUACGUUCCCGGGCCUUGUACACACCGCCCGUCACACCAUGGGAGUGGGUUGCAAAAGAAGUAGGUAGCUUAACCUUCGGGAGGGCGCUUACCACUUUGUGAUUCAUGACUGGGGUGAAGUCGUAACAAGGUAACCGUAGGGGAACCUGCGGUUGGAUCACCUCCUU
rnacentral:rRNA from 1 species